rnacentral:rRNA from 1 species
UCGGCUGCAUGAAGCUGGAAUCGCUAGUAAUCGCGGAUCAGAAUGCCGCGGUGAAUACGUUCCCGGGUCUUGUACACACCGCCCGUCACACCAUGGGAGUCGGGAAUGCCCGAAGUCAGUGACCCAACCGGAAAGGGGGGAGCUGCCGAAGGCAGGCCUGGUAACUGGGGUGAAGUCGUAACAAGGUACC